AGUAAGGAAUAUUGGUCAAUGGGGGCAACCCUGAACCAGCCAUGCCGCGUGCAGGAAGACGGCCCUACGGGUUGUAAACUGCUUUUGUACGGGAAUAACCCUCCAUACGUGUAUGGAGCUGAAUGUACCGUAAGAAUAAGGAUCGGCUAACUCCGUGCCAGCAGCCGCGGUAAUACGGAGGAUCCGAGCGUUAUCCGGAAUUAUUGGGUUUAAAGGGUGCGUAGGCGGCGUGCUAAGUCAGGGGUGAAAGACGGUGGCUCAACCAUCGCAGUGCCUUUGAUACUGGCAUGCUUGAAUGUACUUGAGGUAGGCGGAAUGUGGCAAGUAGCGGUGAAAUGCAUAGAUAUGCCACAGAACACCGAUUGCGAAGGCAGCUUACCAAGGUAUGAUUGACGCUGAGGCACGAAAGCGUGGGGAUCGAACAGGAUUAGAUACCCUGGUAGUCCACGCCCUAAACGAUGAACACUCGAUGUCGGCGAUAGACAGUCGGCGUCCAAGCGAAAGCGUUAAGUG
rnacentral:rRNA from 1 species